GGGCGCUCUUGGCUUUAGCUCCAAACGCCGGUUUGGGAGAGUAUUGUGAAGGUCUUCCGUUUUGCCGCCUCUGCAUUCUUUCCGGGCAGUAGAGUAUGGGCUGUGCUCCUUGCGGGAUUGCUAACUUAUGUUGAGGGACUUCUUGGGAGGCUCUGCUCUCAGCUUUGUCUACAUGAGCUCAUGUUAUCUUCACCACCAUCCCAUGAGCACCUUCCAGGCUAUGAGGAUAAUCAAAAAGAAGUGAUGGUGUGUUGCUUGAGUCUAAACAGGUUUAUCAGGUUUCGUGAAGCAAGUGUUAAAAAGACAUAGCACAGUUUUAUGCACAUUUCAUAGAAAGGAGCCACCGAUGCCCACGCCACUGUUUCCAGAAGUCUCUCCCCCCAGCUUCUCUCAGAAUGCAGCCACGAAGACUCAGGAACCAGCAGCACUGGGGCUCCCCGUCUGCCCCAUGUGCCUCUGCAUCUGCCCAGAUCUGCCCCAAAACUGCUCCAAAGAGGUCCCUGCCCUUCAGAACCUUCUGCUGGGAACUCCUUCUCUCCCCACGUUUCCCAGCUCUGCCGUGGGGUAGGCAGGACUCUGUCGUUUGAAUUCCUUCUGUCAUAUGCAUAUUAUCCAACCUUAGAAAACACACAAGUCUGGCUGCCUAAGCUUCAGCUUUGACUGUCACUCUGUGUUUUUGACUGCAGUUAAUGAACCCUAACUGCCCCCAAAUACUCUGGCUUUCAGACUAUCGGAGCCAGCAUUCCCAACUGGAUAUCGAUUUACCAUUGCAUUUAUAUGAAAGAACAAGAAAGAGCUUUGUGUGUGUGUUUUAGCUACUUAAUCCUCAUUCCUUUUGGCUGAGAGCUUCUCCUUGGAC
ensembl:lncRNA